rnacentral:rRNA from 1 species
UACGAAGGGGGCUAGCGUUGCUCGGAAUCACUGGGCGUAAAGCGCACGUAGGCGGCUUUCUAAGUCAGGGGUGAAAUCCUGGAGCUCAACUCCAGAACUGCCUUUGAUACUGGAGAGCUUGAGUCCGGAAGAGGUGAGUGGAACUCCGAGUGUAGAGGUGAAAUUCGUAGAUAUUCGGAAGAACACCAGUGGCGAAGGCGGCUCACUGGACCGGUAUUGACGCUGAGACGACGAAAGCGUGGGGAGCAAACAGG